AUAAAAAUGUGUGCAACAUAGAAGUGUCAGCAGUGAUGGUAUAUUCUACACACGCACAAAGUAGCGUGCCACUUAAGAGACUACUCUGGAGGACGAGAUGCAUAUCUGUGAAUUGCUCAAGCGCCAACGCUUCUCUUGUGUUGGAGGCAUUUGACUAUGCUGUGAAGGCUGGGCGUGGCUUAUACAUAUGUACAUAUUUAAUGGGCACAAGCGUGAAGUGUCGUGAUUUUCCUUAAUGGCAAUUAACAUGGAAAUGGUAGUACUUGCGGGACUUCUUUUUAAUUUCUUUAAAAAUAUGAAAAAUAGUUGCGCCAGUCUCAACGGUAGCAGCAGAGCUAAUGAAAACCUCCGAAGUUGCCAAGGGCUCAUUUCUACGGCUUUGUCAUGGAGAUUUUUCGAAAAAGAAGAAUGUAAUAAUCACAGUCAGGUGCAUUGGACAAAUAGAUGGCACUAAUUUCUGAAUAAAGCAAGCUAAAUUAGUUAGAAAAGGCAUUGUACACCGAGUGCAAAACUCACAAACCAAAAACUGACCGAAUAAA